rnacentral:rRNA from 1 species
ACGAAGGGGGCUAGCGUUGUUCGGAAUUACUGGGCGUAAAGCGCGCGUAGGCGGGUCAUUAAGUCAGUGGUGAAAUCCCGGGGCUCAACCUCGGAAUUGCCUCUGAUACUGGUGACCUCGAGUCCGUGAGAGGUGAGUGGAACUCCGAGUGUAGAGGUGAAAUUCGUAGAUAUUCGGAAGAACACCAGUGGCGAAGGCGGCUCACUGGCACGGUACUGACGCUGAGGUGCGAAAGCGUGGGGAGCAAACAGG